rnacentral:rRNA from 1 species
GAUGAACGCUGGCGGUAUGCUUAACACAUGCAAGUCGAACGGACUCUUCGGAGUUAGUGGCGGACGGGUGAGUAACGCGUGAGAAUCUGGCUUUGGGUUCGGGACAACCACUGGAAACGGUGGCUAAUACCGGAUGUGCCGAGAGGUAAAAGAGAGAUUGCCUGAAGAUGAGCUCGCGUCUGAUUAGCUAGUUGGUGAGGUAAAGGCUCACCAAGGCAGCGAUCAGUAGCUGGUCUGAGAGGAUGACCAGCCACACUGGGACUGAGACACGGCCCAGACUCCUACGGGAGGCAGCAGUGGGGAAUUUUCCGCAAUGGGCGAAAGCCUGACGGAGCAAUACCGCGUGAGGGAAGAAGGCUCUUGGGUUGUAAACCUCUUUUCUUAGGGAAGAACAAAAUGACGGUACCUAAGGAAUCAGCAUCGGCUAACUCCGUG